rnacentral:tRNA from 1 species
GGGCCAGUAGCUCAGCGGUAGAGCAGGGGACUCUUAAUCCCUUGGUCGUGGGUUCGAAUCCCUCCUGGCUCACCG